rnacentral:rRNA from 1 species
UACGUAGGGUCCGAGCGUUGUCCGGAAUUACUGGGCGUAAAGAGCUCGUAGGUGGUUUGUCGCGUUGUUCGUGAAAACUCACAGCUCAACUGUGGGCUUGCGGUCGAUACGGGCAGACUUGAGUUCGGUAGGGGAGACUGGAAUUCCUGGUGUAGCGGUGAAAUGCGCAGAUAUCAGGAGGAACACCGGUGGCGAAGGCGGGUCUCUGGGCCGAUACUGACGCUGAGGAGCGAAAGCGUGGGGAGCGAACAGG